rnacentral:sRNA from 1 species
GAAUCUUGAUCUCCGCGGAUGUCAGCCGUUCGUCCCAUGUCGGCAUAUGACCCUGGCGCCCGCCGUGGAC